rnacentral:rRNA from 1 species
GACGAACGCUGGCGGCGUGCUUAACACAUGCAAGUCGAACGGAAAGGCCCUGCUUGCAGGGUACUCGAGUGGCGAACGGGUGAGUAACACGUGGGUGAUCUGCCCUGCACUUCGGGAUAAGCUUGGGAAACUGGGUCUAAUACCGGAUAGGAGCCAUCUUUAGUGUGGUGGUUGGAAAGUUUUUUCGGUGUAGGAUGAGCUCGCGGCCUAUCAGCUUGUUGGUGGGGUAAUGGCCUACCAAGGCGGCGACGGGUAGCCGGCCUGAGAGGGUGCACGGCCACAUUGGGACUGAGAUACGGCCCAGACUCCUACGGGAGGCAGCAGUGGGGAAUAUUGCACAAUGGGCGCAAGCCUGAUGCAGCGACGCCGCGUGGGGGAUGAAGGCCUUCGGGUUGUAAACUCCUUUCGCUAGGGACGAAGCUUUGUUGUGACGGUACCUAGAUAAGAAGCACCGGCUAACUACGUG